UGCAGCCUCCUGACCCAGCUGAUGCUUUCUGAUUACCAGCCAAAUUGCAGGAGAAACCCCCUUUGUCUCACAGGCCUCUGCAUCUUCACCCUGAAGCAUGAUCAUUCGUGCAUAAUUUCUACAAGCUCUCUUUCAACGAGCUCCAUGGCAGGCUAGGUGUCAAUGAAGUCCGUCUUAUCCUGGUUUUUGUGAGGUUCUGACUUGAGGCUCUCCAUCCCGAGAUGUGUUCCAUCGGGAGAGCGCAGUGGCACCUGACAUAGUAAGACUUACAGGUUAAUGUAGUCUUUGACGCAGGCAAAUUAGCGCAACAAAAAUAGACCAAUUGACCCCAUUAAUUUCUUCUUCCACAAUUAUCCCCAGGGCCGGAGGAAGGAGGCGAAACAAUAAAUCACAAUUAAGCCUAAGUCA
ensembl:lncRNA